rnacentral:sRNA from 1 species
GGGGGCUGGAGUGACACGCCACCCCUUGCCUAUGAGCUUGGCGGGGCUGUGCUGGGCCUGGCUGUGCGAGUGGACGGCCGCCGGCCCAUCGGAGCCAGGGCACGCCGCAUCCCGGAGCCUGAGCUGUGGCUGGCGGUGGGGCCUCGGCAGGAUGAGAUGACUGUGAAGAUAGUGUGCCGGUGCCUGGCUGACCUGCGGGACUACUGCCAGCCUCAUGCCCCAGGGGCCCUGCUGAAGGCGGCCUUCAUCUGUGCAGGGAUUGUGCAUGUCCACUCGGAACUCCAGCUGAGUGAGCAGCUGCUCCGCACCUUUGGGGGCGGCUUUGAGCUGCACACCUGGUCUGAGCUGCCCCACGGCUCUGGCCUGGGCACCAGCAGCAUCCUGGCAGGCACUGCCCUGGCUGCCUUGCAGCGAGCCGCAGGCCGGGUGGUGGGCACGGAAGCCCUGAUCCACGCAGUGCUGCACCUGGAGCAGGUGCUCACCACUGGUAUGUGACUGCCCUGGAGUUGGAGGAGGUCACUGACACUUUCCCAAGGGCCCGCGGGGGGAGUGGGGCUCCCCUGGAUUUGCAUG